CGCGCGCCGCUAACGGAAGCGGCCGGAGUCGGGUGCGGCGCGCGAGUCGCCGGCACCUGGGGCAUUGCUUUCGUGGAGUCGCGGAAUCGUUAAGGCUGAAAAAGCCCUCUGAGAUCACCUCGUCCAGUCGUCAGCACAUCCCCUCCGUGCCCGCUGACCGCGUCCCUCAGUGCCACAGCUACACAGUUCUCAAACACCUCCAGGGACAGUGAUCUCCCCGUGCAGCUGUGCCGCUGCCUCACCGCCCUUGGGGAGAAUAAAUUUUUCCUAAUAUCCAACCCGACUCUCCCCUGAAUGCUUUAUGAUAUAUGUAACCUUUAAAGGCCACAGCUGUGGUAACGUGAACGGAAUUGCAGUGCACUCCACAGCCAAAGUGCAGGUCCUUGUCCCUGCUCCAAACAAAGGCGUUGCUGCUGACCUGGCUCUGAAGAGCUCUAGGUAUGGAGCUUUGCCUUUGUGUUGAAUCGUAUGAGAGACAGAAGAAAACAAAGCUCUGGGCGCUGAGCUAGGAGGUAGCACAGCUCCUCUGAAGGACAACCAUGCAGUGAUCCGUUGCGUGCUGCGCGUGUGAAGAAUGGGCUGCAAGUCAGCUGGGGAAGAUGUGAAGCUGUGUGCGUUAAUGCUUCCUCUCCUUUCUACUUAAUAAUAAGAAAGGAAUAAUAAUAGAAUUGUGCGUGGUAAAGUUGAAUGGUGAUGUAAACUGUAGUACUUUCAGUUCCACUCAAUUACACAUAAAUCUUUCUGUUCAAGUCUAAGUAUCCAUUCCUACUCAUGAAGUGUAAAGAACUUCUGCUUGCUGGGAUGCAAAUCAUCAGACCUUCAUCACACUGGAUGGUGGUUUCCUCAGAGAAUAUCACUUGUCAAUAGAUUAAGCUGUUUUUUGUCGAUGCUAUCAAACAGAACUCUGUUCAGUGCUUGGCUAAUGAUUAAGUCACCUGAAGCAAAGUUGUGCUGAGGUUAAAACUUUAAGAAGUAGAUUUGCAUGUAGAUGACCAUGUUUUCACAUGACACAAAAAUGUCUUUUUUUUCUUUUCCAUUCCAAGACCUUAAUAAAUUGUUGAGAGAGUUAUUGCCAUUUAUUAAAACUUCCAGAUCAGUCAGCAAAAGAUCAUGGGAUAUUACUUGGUAUGCUAAAUUAGUUUGAGCUAAUCUUUAUUCAACUUUAUUUUUAAUGAUAGGUAAAUCUUUCCACAGUCCCUG
ensembl:lncRNA